rnacentral:lncRNA from 10 species
CCGCGGUGAGGCUGAGAGUGGCUUGGCGCAGGCCUGCAGGCGUCCCUUGGAUCAAACAGCUUGGGCGCUGUGGGCAUGAUUGAUGGUGGCAGGAGGCAGAGAGGCUCCCGGGCAGAAAGGGGUGGGUACCUAGUGAAGCCCCAACUUCAAGCCAGGGACAGCCUGAAGCCUGGGGGCUGGGCUGUCAGUUGGGGUGGAGUCCAUGGCUUGGAGUGAGAACUUAUAGGUGCUUUUUCCAGGCCCGCCCAUGGCCACCCAUGGACCAAUCAACACGCACUUCCUGUCUUCUGAAGUCCAUAAAACUCCAGACUCACCCAAACUCACAGACAUCUGGGCUGCUAGCUGCAUGAAGGAGCUACCCGCUGUGGGUCUCCUCUUUGCUGACAGCUGGACACUUGACAGAAUGACCUGCCUGAACUCGGGACCUGCAGAAUGAUGGGACUGAAGAAGCUGUAACACAAACAGGGCUAAAACACGCACUCUCCUCCCCCUGCUCCCCACCGCCCCACCCACUUGCCACAUUGGAGGUGAUGAGAAGGAGAGAAGAGCUGUGGCCUUUCAGGGAGCAUAGUCCCAGGGGCUCCCUGAGCCAGGGCUGUGAAACCCUCUUCCGGGCACUGCAGUUCCUGGCAUCUCCAAACUUCUGAGUGCCACCGCAUUCCCCGCGUCCGGAUGCAGGUCAAUGCACAGAAAGAAAUCUCUCUCCUGACUUUAGUACAAUGGCACGAUUGGUGGCCACAGUCCAAGGAUGGUUGCUGGGGCACCAAGAGAUUUCUGACAAAGGGCAUUAAAACUGAGAAAGUUUGGGAACCUCUGAAUGCUGUAGGACUUGCAUUUACGUUCUAACUGAGCUUGUUGGACACUGAAAUGGAGGAAGAAUCACAAGCCAUUUUCAAACCUAUACCCUACAUCGUGGCAGAAUAGAUUAUCCAAGAGAAGGUCAGGAUAGAGUGCAGCAAUGAUCGGAAGUGGUGUCUUCAAUAAGAUGGGACUGGAUAUAGAUGGGAAGAAGCACAAUGGAAAGAAGAAUAUUCCAGAUCUUACAAAUGUGGAAAGCACUCA